rnacentral:rRNA from 1 species
AUACGGAGGAUCCAAGCGUUAUCCGGAAUCAUUGGGUUUAAAGGGUCCGUAGGUGGAUAAUUAAGUCAGAGGUGAAAUCCUGCAGCUCAACUGUAGCAUUGCCUUUGAUGCUGGUUAUCUUGAGUUAUUAUGAAGUAGUUAGAAUAUGUAGUGUAGCGGUGAAAUGCAUAGAUAUUACAUAGAAUACCGAUUGCGAAGGCAGAUUACUAAUAAUAUACUGACACUGAGGGACGAAAGCGUGGGGAGCGAACAGGAUUAGAUACCCUAGUAGUCC